rnacentral:rRNA from 1 species
UGGGGAAUCUUGGACAAUGGGGGCGAACCCUCGAUCCAGCCAUGCCGCGUGAGUGAUGAAGGCCUUAGGGUCGUAAAGCUCUUUCGCCUGUGAAGAUAAUGACGGUAGCAGGUAAAGAAACCCCGGCUAACUCCGUGCCAGCAGCCGCGGUAAUACGGAGGGGGGUUAGCGUUGUUCGGAAUUACUGGGCGUAAAGCGCACGUAGGCGGACCAGAAAGUUGGGGGUGAAAUCCCGGGGGCUCAACCCCGGAACUGCCUCCAAAACUAUUGGUCUAGAGUUCGAGAGAGGUGAGUGGGAAUUCCAAGUGUAGAGGUGAAAUUCGUAGAUAUUUGGAGGAACACCAGUGGCGAAGGCGGCUCACUGGCUCGAUACUGACGCUGAGGUGCGAAAGUGUGGGGAGCAAACAGGAUUAGAUACCCUGGGUAGUCCACACCGUAAAACGAUGAAUGCCAGUCGUCGGGUAGCAUGCUAUUCGGUGACACACCU